rnacentral:ncRNA from 2 species
UAAUGGGGUAGAGGCGCAAAGCGGAUGAGUAGGAUGAUGGAGUGAAUGGACAUGAUGAAAUCAUUUUAAAGGCCAAUUUGCCGAAGUGUGGGAAUGAUCCAUCCAUUCUCAUGCUGGGCCGCUGCCGAACAGACAGCGGACUGUCACUGCAAUGCUUGCAGUGGAGAACUAUUCCGGCA